GACGAACCGUGCGAACGUUAUUCGGAAUCACUGGGCUUAAAGCGCGUGUAGGCGGGGCGGAGCGUCGGUCGCUGAAAUCCCCCGGCUCAACCGGGGAAGGGGCGCCGAUACGACCGGCCUGGAGGGACGUAGGGGGAGCUGGAACUUCCGGUGGAGCGGUGAAAUGCGUUGAGAUCGGAAGGAACGCCCGUGGCGAAAGCGAGCUCCUGGACGUUUUCUGACGCUGAGACGCGAAAGCCAGGGGAGCGAACGGG
rnacentral:rRNA from 1 species